CAUCUUUAUCAUGGCUUUAGUG
rnacentral:siRNA from 1 species